rnacentral:rRNA from 1 species
GACGAACGCUGGCGGCGUGCUUAACACAUGCAAGUCGAACGGAAAGGCCCUGCUUUUGUGGGGUGCUCGAGUGGCGAACGGGUGAGUAACACGUGAGUAACCUGCCCUUGACUUUGGGAUAACUUCAGGUAACUGGGGCUAAUACCGGAUAGGAGCUCCUGCUGCAUGGUGGGGGUUGGAAAGUUUCGGCGGUUGGGGAUGGACUCGCGGCUUAUCAGCUUGUUGGUGGGGUAGUGGCUUACCAAGGCUUUGACGGGUAGCCGGCCUGAGAGGGUGACCGGCCAAAUUGGGACUGAGAUACGGCACAGACUCCUACGGGAGGCAGCAGUGGGGAAUAUUGCACUAUGGGAGGAAGCCUGAUGCAGCAACGCCGCGUGCGGGAUGACGGCCUUCGGGUUGUAAUCCGCUUUCGCCUGUGACGAAGCGUGAGUGACGGUAAUGGGUAAAGAAGCACCGGCUAACUACGUG